UUGAAAUCUGGCCUCCCGGGGUCCGAGUUGUAAUUUGUAGAGGAUGUUUUGGGUACCGCCCCGGUUUAAAUUUCUUGGAACAGAAUGUCAGAGAGGGUGAGAAUCCCGUCUUGGACCGGCGGUAGGGCCUGUGUAAAACUCCUUCGACGAGUCGAGUUGUUUGGGAAUGCAGCUCAAAAUGGGUGGUAAAUUUCAUCUAAAGCUAAAUAUUGGCCAGAGACCGAUAGCGCACAAGUAGAGUGAUCGAAAGAUGAAAAGAACUUUGAAAAGAGAGUUAAACAGUAUGUGAAAUUGUUGAAAGGGAAGCGCUUGCAACCAGACUUGAGCGCGACGGUUCCCCUAGCCUUUUGGCUAGGUUACUCCGUCGUGUCCAGGCCAACAUCGGUUCUGAGGGUCGGUCAAAGGCUCUGGGAAUGUAUCUACCCACGGGUAGACUUAUAGACCAGGGUGUCAUGCGACCUCUCGGGACCGAGGAACGCGCUUCGGCUCGGAUGUUGGCGUAAUGGUUGUCAGCGACCCGUCUUGAAACACGGACCAAGGAGUCUAACAUCUAUGCGAGUGUUUGGGUGUCAAACCCGGAACGCGAAAUGAAAGUGAACGGAGGUAGGAAGCUUCGGCUGCACUAUCGACCGAUCCUGAAGUUUACGGAUGGAUUUGAGUAAGAGCAUAGCUGUUGGGACCCGAAAGAUGGUGAAC
rnacentral:rRNA from 1 species